rnacentral:lncRNA from 1 species
CAGCUUUAUUUUAAAAUAUACAAGUAUUUUGAAAUGUAGAGUUUAAGGCUGUUCUAUUUCUUAAACUCCACACAAAACUGACAAAUCCAUACCAAAUUAAUCACCCACAGACUGCCAAUUUCAUCCACUAAUUUAACACUACAGCAUUCAGGAUAAAUUAAAGGAUUUAAUAGUAUAGACAGUUAAAAAAAAAAAGCAGUCAUUUGUAACAUGCUGCUAUAAAUAGAACAACCAGUUUAUGGAUUACUGGUACAAAAAGUUUCAAUGGCAAACUUAGAGCUUCCUUAAAACAAACAAAAAAAAUCUAGACUGAGUUGAAGCGUUCUCCAUCUGGGAAAAAAAUGCUCAUCUUGUGAAUUUUAACACUCAGCCAAAUAUAAAAUCAUGUUUUAGAGGGGGACCAUCACUGAUACUGGGACUUAAGCCAGGCUUUCAAGGUUUGGAUUAGGCCGACUGAUGUGGGGAAGGGUGGAGGCUGCCAGCAAAGGAAGAAAUGAGAUUCGAAGUUGGGAUAACUUGUCAAAUGCCAAGGACAAUGAGGAGACCUGUUUGUUGGGAGCAGAGUUACAUAUUAGAAUAACAGGAUUUAAAGGGAACAUUUUUUAAAAGGUAUGUUCCAAAGGAAGGUAUAGUUGAAAGUACUCUAUCCAGUCCAAGAAAUUCAUAUAAAUCAGAAUUUGGAGAGAAUUUUGCUGAGUACCUUUCCAGUGUAUACCUUUGCAUUUUGUUAAAGGUCACAAUCAUACCAUAGGGGCUUUAGAAAUAAUGGUAACUUUUUUUAAAAAAGGUAUAAUCACCUCUUAUUUAUAAUGAACAGCUUUAGUUAAAAUAUUUGGCCAGAUGAAAGCUCUUGAGCAUCACCAUGGACUCUCAGGCUUUACAUCUCUGGAGUAUUCCUGAGAAAAUAGUAAGAAAAAAAAGCAACUUUCAUCACUUUUUAAAAGCUCUUUUUCAGAGGUUGUU